rnacentral:ncRNA from 2 species
GUCUAUCUUCGGGGCAGGGUGAAAAUCCCGACCGGCGGUAAUGAAUGAGUAUAUGAAUAUGUGAGUUCUAAGCCCGCGAGCCGUUAAGGCAGGAUUUGGUGCGAUUCCAAAGCCGACAGUACAGUCUGGAUGGGAGAAGAUGGAG